AGCUUUGCGCAGUGGCAGUAUCGUAAGCAAUGAGGUUUAUCCGAGGCGCGAUUAUUGCUAAUUGAAAAGUAAUAACUUGUGGGAACCAGCAAUAAGCAUAAUGGCUAUGUCACUGGACU
rnacentral:snRNA from 11 species